CCAGGUGCCCUCAGCCGCUCCUCCCAUGGUUUGUCCAAACUCUUCCCCAUCCCUGUGUCCCUCCUUUGGAUGCUUUCCCACACCUUUAGAUCUUCCUGAUGUUGGGGCAUCCAAAGGUGUCCUCAGGGCUGACGGUGAGGCUGCCCCAGCCCAGAGCAGAGCAGGACAAUCCCCUGCCUUGACCAGCAGAACCAGAUGCCUUUGGAGAGCUCUAUUUACCCAGAAGAAUCACAGCUUCCACUUUGGGUCUUCUUGGAGAGAAAAGUGUGAUGUCUGGGGGACAAAUAUUUCCCAGAGUGCAGAACAGCUGCUCUACCACGAGCUCCUGCAGCUCUGAAAAUGGCAUCUCCAUUCCUUUGAAAUUCCCCAGCAGAUGGAGGCUGAAGCCCUAAAUCAGUUGGCCCCGGGACAGCUCAUUCCCAAGGUUCACGUGGAAAUUUGCAAGCCUUGUGAUUUGGAAUAAAAAGCCCCGGGAUAUCUGA